UACGUAGGGGGCAAGCGUUGUCCGGAUUUAUUGGGCGUAAAGAGCGUGUAGGCGGCCAUACAGGUCCGUUGUGAAAACUGGAGGCUUAACCUCCAGACGUCGAUGGAAACCGUAUGGCUAGAGUCCGGAAGAGGAGAGUGGAAUUCCUGGUGUAGCGGUGAAAUGCGCAGAUAUCAGGAAGAACACCGGUGGCGAAGGCGGCUCUCUGGGCCUUACCUGACGCUGAGGAGCGAAAGCGUGGGUAGCGAACAGG
rnacentral:rRNA from 1 species